CCGGGAGACGCUUCCGCAUCGGUGGAGCUGCCCCAUAGGGCCCUGCCUGGCAUGGACCAUGGAGCUGCUCCUGGGUGACGCGGUGGCGGCGCUCGCCGCCUUGGCGGCCGCAGCCCUGAGCCUGUGAGAAUCAAGUUUAAAGUGGAUGUCUCGCUGGUUACUUCUUCUACCUUCUGAAACAAGAAGUUGUCCCCAAUACAGUCCAAGAAUUUAUAGGACACUUUGUGUUAUGACACUUCACUUUUCUGACAGAUGUUUGGGGACUUUAAACUUGAGUGCCUCUCACCACCUUCUGGACCUCAGAACAAGUAUUACUAUUGUUGCCCAUAUAACUGCCACCAAAAUGGCAAAUCUUCAUCGACAUGAAGAAGAGAAGUUCUUUAUGAAUGCUGAAGGAAAGAAGGAAUCUAUACCAAGCAUACAUGACCCUCCUACAAAGGAGUUCUCUGUUGUUGUGCCUUCAUACAAUGAGGAAGACAGGUUGCCUCUUAUGAUGGAUGAAGCUUUAGACUAUCUUGAAAAAAGACAGAAACGAGAUCCUACGUUCACUUAUGAAGUAAUAGUUGUUGAUGAUGGCAGUAAAGAUCAGACCACAAAGGUUGCAAUGAAGUACUGCAAGAAAUAUGGAAGUGACAAAGUACGAGUCCUAACAUUGGUAAAAAAUCGGGGGAAAGGUGGAGCUGUCAAAAUGGGUGUCUUUAGCUCUCGAGGGGAAAAAAUCCUUAUGGCUGAUGCAGAUGGAGCCACGAAGUUUGCAGAUAUUGAAAAAGUUGAAGAGGGUCUUAGAAAUCUCCAGCCAUGGCCAGACCAGAUGGCUAUUGCCUGUGGUUCUCGAGCCCAUUUGGAGCAGGACUCAAUAACACAGCGCUCUUACUUCCGAACUCUUCUCAUGUAUGGGUUCCACUUCUUAGUAUGGUUUCUCUGUGUCAAGGAAAUCAGGGACACACAAUGUGGGUUUAAACUGUUAACCAGAGAAGCGGCCUCUCGGACUUUCUCAGCUCUUCAUAUAGAACGCUGGGCAUUUGAUGUGGAACUUCUUUACAUAGCUCAGCUCUUGAAAAUACCAAUAGCAGAGGUUGCUGUCAACUGGACUGAAAUUGAUGGUUCGAAGCUGGUUCCCUUUUGGAGCUGGCUGCAGAUGGGCAGGGAUCUUCUUUUUAUACGACUGAGAUAUUUGACUGGUGCCUGGCGUCUCGAAACAAGCAAAUCUAAUUAGGUUAUUUACAUUCUCCAAAUGCAUUAUUACACAUAAUGGAGCACAAGAACUAUUUCAGUGAACUGAAAUGUUGGAGAAAGCUGAGGUUACUCUUCAUUGCUGCUGUUAUGUACUGCAUUUUUGCAAUAUCUGUCACUUCUGCUGAAUGAGUUAUGUGACUGAUUGCUGCAUUAACCAGAAUAAAGUGAUAACUGCUCACUUGUGGUAAGUGUUCUGUGCUCUACUGAUGUGAUAGGCAGGGCUGGUAGUGCCACCUGUUAAGGUUGUUUGAUGUUUCCCAUUAUAAGAUCAUGUUCUCAGUAGCUUAUAACUUUCUCAAACUAACCAUUUGGGCUGCAGUUUUCCAUGCAAGGUGUCUGCCUCAGUCUGAUUUUGAAAACUUCAACUGAAUAUUUUUGGCAGCUUCUUAGAAAGAGGCUAGGGGAAUCCAGUUGUUGGGUUUUUUUUUAAACCAAGGAAACUACACACAAAAUACCUGCAUUAAAAGAAUAUUAGUAACCAAUCCUUCCAGAUUAAAUAUCACAGGAUUUGUCAGUAAAAACCAUUAUUAGAUUAUGGAAAUUACUAUGCAUUUGAGUAACACUCAUCAUAAAUCUGUGUAUAACAAAAUUAAAAUGAGGCUUAAAUAAUUAGAUCUCAUCAUGAAGCUGGCAAAAAACAAAAUUAUUUGUUUCACAGCUUUCAGAAUUGACCUACUUUCAUCUCUCCAAAAUUUUCUGCAUGACUUCAAUCAAUAUCUUCAGGUUUUGAAUCAUUAUCCAAGUUUCUUUUACUGAAAAUAGUUUUCAGUAAUGAAGAUUUCAGUAAACGAAAAACAUCAGUGAUUUUGAAAACGUUGGACAAAAAUUAAUGUGGCAGAAAGUUUUGCAAAAGAGAAUUUUUAAUAAAAAGCUGUCAAAUUUAUCAAAAGUUUUUUUUUCACUGGCCAUUUUCUGUAGAAAAAUAGCCUUUCAAAAAGAAAACAAUAAAUUCUUUGUUAAAUUUUGACAAGCUCUAAAAUUCAUCUAAUUCUUUUACUCGGGAUUCUUCCAUUGUUAUUGGAUAAUAUGAAGCAAUGGUGAAGCAGAGACUCCAUCAUUAAGAAUGUGUAUAGAUAUCCAUUGUAAUGCAACUUCACAAACUCUUUUCCUUGACAUUUUCCAUAUGUUGUCUUUUAGCACACUCCCCUUAUAUAUAAUCUGACAAGACAUUUGGAACAUGACUGCUGCAGGAAAAAAGCCUCAGUAGUAAUUCUGUUCUGUUAAUAAAAUUUUCUCAAUUUUUUUAGUAGCUUGACCUGGAAAUUACAAAUUUGGUCUGAAAAAAGUUCAUAUGCAGCAUUUUUGGAACAAUUGGAGAGUUAAUUUUAAAACUGUUCACUAUAGUUGGUCUGUCUUGAUAUUGCCACCCAUUUUCUGAAGUCCACAAAGCUCCUAGUGGAGUCUGAAGUCUACAUGCUCUCCUGCAGAGAGGAGAUAGGGAUUUAAUUGCUAAACCGUUCCAAAUGUGGCUCAGCAAAGGCAAGAGACUCCAAGAACACCAAUUACAAGUGAGUAACUGCCUUUUUAUUGUGUUUAACAAUAAAAUGACAUAAUUCUGAUA